UCAGGUCUUGAACGUGUCGCUGGCAAUAGCAAGUGCAGCUUUCCCUGGGCCGGGGCUGUGUGGAGGAGAUGGAUAUAACUCCCUUUUCCUCUGCCUGGGGUGUGGAAGCGAGGUUUGGCUGUCAGCGGGAAGGGGAUGCUUCCUCUCCAUCCUGAUCCCACCUACACACUGGUUCACAAGCAUCAUAACGUUUAGAGCUGAAACUGUUGAAUUUAUCUCUUUUCCUGAAAGAAGACAAGGGAUAAAGAGGGAAUGACAUUUGCUUAAGGAGAAUGAGAACACCCUGCAAAGCUCGGGGAUCUUACACUCAGCCCACCGAUACCCCGAGGCUGAGGGAGCUGCUCUGCUUCUUCAGCAUCAUAGCAGGAGGGCAGUCAGGUCUCCAAAUCCUGCCUUUUGCAGCGCCUCUCACUGCCUCCCAGCAAACCUGUCUCUCCCCAAUCACCUCUGCUCGUUCCCCUCCUGAGUCGCUGUUUAUUCUGGCUCCAAGGGCUCAUGCUGAUGCGGUGGAGCAGUCUUGUCUGAGAGCUGAGUUUUUCCACAAUCUCCAAGAUUGUUUUGACAUGCUUGACUUGCAGCCGAUGUGUCAGCCAAGGGUCUCCCACCACCCAAGCAGUACCUUUGCUCGCCAAGCAACACGUGCCCUGGGGCGAGCAGCUAGCCAUGCAAACACCCCCACGCACGCACACGCCUCUUGCACCACUUUAUUGUUUAAUAAGUGCCUUGGGUUUCGUCAUCCCGGCUCUUCUCCAUGUGUCUCGCUCACAGACAGAGCCGGCUCCCCAGCUAAAUCUGGUUUUAAUGGCUGUUUGUGACUCCCAUGGAAAUCAGUGCUGCUGUGGAUGGGAAGCUGCGCUCAAGUGCAGUAGGUUGCUUGGGAAGGAGUCAGGAAUUUGGUUCUUCUUGAUCCCUCAGGUACCUGUUAGUGCUAUUUCUUUGUCCCCAUCUACCUGAUGGGCUAACCAGGUGACAGGCAUCCCAUGCCUUGAGAUCUGAAGCAGUCAGAGAGGAGGGCUUGUCUCAUGACGUGAGCUGCCUUGGUGGGUGGUAGAAAUGGGGAUUUCUUGGUCUGGGGCCUGGCUGCCUUAGGGCUUGGCGUUUCGGGGGGCCUGUGAGGACUUGCUCUGUGUAGCUGAGUGCCAUCCUUCGUGCCCUCCCUCCCCGCUGUCCCCGAGCAGCCAGGUGCAGAGCACUCUGCUCCUGCCCUGCAGCGGAGUGCAGCGCUGGCUUUGGAGGAGGAGCAGGGCCUUAAUCUCUGCCAGUUGAGUUGCACUUGCAAAGACGAUUAGACAUAUGCCAGCUAAUUCAUAGUAAGCAGGAUGGAGGGAGAAUUUGCCACUUAUAAAUGGCAGAUGAGCAAGCCCAUCAUUCCUGUCACUCUUGGGUAAUACAUGCUGACAUAAACCCAGUUUAGCUGUGAGUUUAUCAUUGCUAAUCCUGCUGGCCCAUGCUGGUUCUCCAUCCUCCUGGCAUCUUUCUUCCCCUUUCCCCGCUUUGCCUUUCUCUCCCUUGCUCCUGGUACUUGUGUGUCUGGCCUUGUGGGGCAGAUGAAAUCCCCAGCAUCCCCCACCCUUCUCCCAGCACAUCAUUGUGAGUUUGUCUUCCAAGGAAUGCUCAGCUCUGGUGGCUCCUGGGGGACCCUGGUGUCCCUCCUGAGUGCUGCAACCAGAUGCUGGGCCACCUAUAUUUUUCCUGGAAUUCCUGUUGGCUUUCCUUCAUUGUGGUGAAACAAGCGUCCCAGCUGUCCUCGCCUGACCAAGCUGCCCACACAGAGUAUGUGGCUUUUUCUUGUGGCACUAUGGGAUGCCUAAGUAAUCUUGCCCUGAUCAGCUCCCUCCUUCAGCUCAGCGUUCCCCCACUGUCAGUGGUGUGUCCUGCAUGCCCCUCAUCCCUCGGAUCAGAUCAGCUGGGGAAGGGAGGGCAGAAACAGGAAUCCCAUGAGCCAAAAUCCGGGUCAGAGCGGGAAUCAUGGGGCUGCACCUCGCCUGGGACAGGGAAACCAGAUGCUUUGCUGCUGCCUAGUGAUGCUUGUGGCUGCUGUGACACCCAGGCAUGAAGAGGAGACCCCAGUGAGCCGUGUUGGGGGGCUGCACAGCCUCUUGGAGAGGCCGGAGCUGAGCAGAGCUGGUUCCCUGCGAGCUGUGAUGAAUCAGCACCUCACUGCAAUGCUGAGCUGGGCUCUGUACAGCGCGGAGGCGAGCGGCACCCGGGCGGCAUCGAUGUUUAUUAAUGACUGUAUUGGGGAUGCUGUUUAGUCACCGCUCCCACGGAGCCUUGAGAGGCAGCUGGCCCUCUUGUUGUGGGGUGGGAGGAUCCUCCACCGUCCUUGGGGGAUAUCUGAAGCAUCUGCACCACUUAGCACACGGUAGCCAGGUCCCACGAGAGGCCUUGGAGAUGCCACCAUUGCUCCCUCACCAAGCACACACCAAGCACAUCACCAGCUGCGUCCCCUCCCAGCAGAGCAACAGGGCGAUUCCUGCUUGAGAGAUGGGGGAAACUGAGGCACGGUGUGCGGUGAGGGGUGACAGCAGGACACGACCCGGCCACGCUGAUCUCCCAACGGCUGGCGAUGCUGGGCUGCCCUUGCUGCCUGCAUCUGGCGCAUCGGGGGGAUUUAUUAAUGCGAGAGUGCUGCAGAUUUAACUAGGAGGAACGUGAGCAAGGCGAUUAGAGGGUGGGAGUGGGGAGACGGCAAUUAAAGUGCUGGUGGGGCCACCAGCCAGCACAACCCUCCCCAGCAAGGAACCUGUUUAAGGGCUGGAUCCUGUUAUUAAACUCUCUGACGGGCAUUUUCUCACUCUACCAUCUGCAGUGCCAUGAAACUUGCAUGAGAUUUGAGAUGAAAAGUCUAUUUCUUUGAAUGAAGUUUUAAUAAGAUCAAAUUGGGAAAAGAAAACAGUAACUCUUCUGCCCCCUCUCCUGCCUCUCCCCCCAUUCUUAUUGGAUUUAGUCUUCUGAAGGCAAAAAUCUUUGCGAACUGGCCAUGCCCCUCCGGCAGGUUGGUGCUGAGUGGGGGUGUCUGCAGGGGAAGGCGGUGAAUUCGAGGGCUGUAGAUGUUGCUGCAGCAGUGUUGCAGUGUGGGAGGCUGUUGGCCGUGGCGGCUUCACACUGGGGAGCACACACUGACAUGGGGCACAGCAAAUGGGGGGCCCAGCUGCUCCUGGUGCAUCGGGUCUCUUGGGGUGCUGGGUAGCGCCCAGGUGCAAAAAAAAACCUAAUUACAUCUUUGACAUGUAAUUUUAAUCUGCUCAAACCGAUGAAGAUGGGGCGGGGGCGGUGGUGCUACCGGGCUGCGCCCCCCACCCCCGGUGCUCUGGGCAGCACGGAGAGGGGAGGCUGGUGGGGGGGAUACUGCAGGAAGGAAUCCCAUCCCAUCCCAUCCCAUCCCAUCCCAUCCCAUCCCAUCCCAUCCCAUCCCAUCCCAUCCCAUCCCAUCCUUGUCCGGAUCACGGGGAUGCUGCGGGGGUGGGCCCAUCCCUGCCCGGGCCGGGGGGGGCUCCGGGAGGGGAGGGGCCGCCAGGGGGCGCUCGCGGCCGGGAGCUGCAUCCCCCCCCAGCUGCAUCCUUUGCAUCCCCCCCCGUCAGCUGCAUCCUUCGCAUCCCCCCUCCCAGCAUCGUUCCCCUCGGAUCGGCGGUCCCCGCCGCCCCCCCGGGUUGGGAUACAGGCUCUGGGGUGCAGGUUGGAGCAGUGGGAUGUCCCUGCCCAGCGCUGCCGGGUUUCCGUGGGGGUUCCCGGCCAUGGGAUCACGUUGAGCCUUCGGUGACCCCAACGUGAUGUGAGUCCCACCCUGCCCCUGGCCCCCCGUUUUGUGCUGGAUCCCGUGUCAGCCCAGAGACACAACUGACAUGGCAGGUCCAGCAGUGAGAAGGAUGCCACGGGGAGCUCAGGUAGGUGGCCUGGCCUGGUUUGUUCUCUGAUAGCCACAAACCCAGCUGGCAUCUCCUAUAAUUGCCUGGGUAGCGGCUGGGCAGCACAUGGCCGCACCGCACGUGCUGGCAGCCAGCAGCAGCCUGGCAUCGCUUUGUCACUUUGUCACUUCGCUCUCGAUGCGCAGCCUGGCCGGACACCGGGCUGGGGCUCAGCACACUCAUGGGGGGUUGUGAGCUGGGGCCAAGACCCACAGGAGCUGGGCCCCCCACCAUCUCUGCAGAGAACAGGUCCCAGGGUUUGCUGGUAGGUCAGGCUCAGCAGGUCCUGCUGCCAUCGGGCUGGCUCCUAGAACAGGGUAGGCAAUGUCUGACAGCAUGAGGAAACUGAGGCACAUCCCAGUGCGUGCACAGGGGUGAAGAGCAGGUUGCACGCCAGCACAGCUCGCCCAUAGGUGCCUACCCGAGGAGCAGGACCUUUGGGAAACAGCGCCCAGGUCUGCUGUUCGCUGUGAGUUGGUCUCGCGUCCACCACGCGGGGCGAGAGUCCGCGGUGUUUUGCAGCAGCCCCUGGCCACAAAGGUGCCAGCUUGUCCCUCCAGCCCUGACGUGUCACUGCCCAUCUCCUGCCUCAUCACCACAUUAAUAAGCCAUCUCUGAUCGGCCUUCCUUGCCACUGUUGACUUCUGUUUUAAUGCCAGAGCGCUACUGCUGCCCCAGCUGGGAAGGGAGUGGAGAGGAACCUCCAGCAUCACCUCUUCCACGAGCUGAUAAGGCCGAGGGAGAGGCAAGAAACUGCUUGGAGCUCAGGGAGUCUGUUAGCAGGAGCGGCAGCCCUGAAAAAAGCAGGCACAUAUUCAAUUGACUCGGCAGCGUGGGCUGGAUCCUGCUGCUGGAUCCUCCACCGUGGAUCCCGAGUGCCUGCAGUGUCCAUGGAGGGGGUGCUGCAGGAGCCUUUGCUGCACCCAGCACUGGCUGGUUUGGGGAGAAGUUGUUGCCCUUUUCCUCAUCCCCCCUUUGCUCCAUGUGCCCCAGCUGCUUGGUGGCAUUGUCCCUAACUGGCAGGCAGCUGGGGACCGGUGCAGAAUGUUCUGGGUGUGCGAUACAGAGGGCUGAAAAGCUGCGAGAAACUUGGAGGAGACCCCGUGGAGACCCACAGCUGACCCUGCGUUUCCCUGUCCACUGGGGUGGCCCCGGUGGAUUCCCCUUCUCCAUAUGGCUGUGGAUGUCUGUAGAUACAUUUUAAAACCUUGGAUGGGUAAUAAAUAGAAGCAGGCCCGGUG